rnacentral:rRNA from 1 species
AGAGAGUUCAAUAGUACGUGAAACCUCUCGGGGGUAAGCGGGCAGAACUUGCAAGUAUUGGUGAGGAGAUUCAGGCUUAGUGUUGGUGACUGAGGGUGCGAAUUAAGUUGUCUGUUCGCAGGCUGACUGAUGUGUGCCCUUUGNUUUGCUGAUGAUGCGCCGCAUUUCUUCUUGCCAUCCGGGUUGCAUGCAACUGAGUGGUAAUUUAGGUGCUGGGNGUCUGCGUGNCCUUGUGGUCCGAGCCCUGGUUUCCAAUUACUCAUGCGGUUGUUGAAAGCGAACAGGCGUUUGUCGCGGUCAAUGUUUUUCACGAGUAGGGUUUGUAUGAUGUGUGGACGGGUAACCGUAGCACGUUGUGCACGCUGAUUGUCAGUGAGAGAUAUUUUG